rnacentral:rRNA from 1 species
GAUGAACGCUGGCGGCGUGCCUAAUACAUGCAAGUCGAGCGAACAGACGAGGAGCUUGCUCCUCUGACGUUAGCGGCGGACGGGUGAGUAACACGUGGAUAACCUACCUAUAAGACUGGGAUAACUUCGGGAAACCGGAGCUAAUACCGGAUAAUAUAUUGAACCGCAUGUUCAAUAGUGAAAGACGGUUUUGCUGUCACUUAUAGAUGGAUCCGCGCCGCAUUAGCUAGUUGGUAAGGUAACGGCUUACCAAGGCAACGAUGCGUAGCCGACCUGAGAGGGUGAUCGGCCACACUGGAACUGAGACACGGUCCAGACUCCUACGGGAGGCAGCAGUAGGGAAUCUUCCGCAAUGGGCGAAAGCCUGACGGAGCAACGCCGCGUGAGUGAUGAAGGUCUUCGGAUCGUAAAACUCUGUUAUUAGGGAAGAACAAAUGUGUAAGUAACUAUGCACGUCUUGACGGUACCUAAUCAGAAAGCCGCGGCUAACUACGUG